UACGUAGGGGCCUAGCGUUGUCCGGAAUUAUUGGGCGUAAAGGGCUCGUAGGCGGUUUGUCACGUCGGUUGUGAAAGCCCGGGGCUUAACCCCGGGUCUGCAGUCGAUACGGGCAGGCUAGAGUGUGGUAGGGGAGAUCGGAAUUCCUGGUGUAGCGGUGAAAUGCGCAGAUAUCAGGAGGAACACCGGUGGCGAAGGCGGAUCUCUGGGCCAUUACUGACGCUGAGGAGCGAAAGCGUGGGGAGCGAACAGG
rnacentral:rRNA from 1 species